AAGGGCAAGUUAAUUGGGAUUGACCACAUUCCUGCUAUCAUCUCUUGGAACAAAUCCACAAGCUUAUCUCUUCUAGCUCCUCUUUCAAUUCCAAAUAGAAGAGUGCAGAUUAUAUUGAAUGUGAGUGUCUUCAUCAAGGUACUCAUCAAUAUGCAACCUAACUUCCAGAUCCAUUUUGCCCACAUACUGCUUCAGCGAUUCAGGCUUCAAAAAGGACAUAAGAGCAUCCCUGACACGCUUAUGAUCUCAGCCACUCAAUUCCAGCAAGCACCUAUCACCCAAUAUAGUCUUAACAGAUUCUGUUUGACUGUUGGCCAGAAUGCUGCUAUCGCUGGCGAACGCAAACUUGUUUGCAGCCUGCCCAUAUAAGAAAACAGUUGGCUUGCCAAAAAGACACAUCUUUGAUAUGGGACCAAUAUUUUUGUAUCCUUUUCUCAAGCCAUUUUUCUGCAGUAUUGCCUCUCAUGUUUUGGAGAAGGCUAAGGCUUUGGCCUAUUAUGGGAAUUCCUAGUGAACCUGGAGGGAGUUUCUUUGAUGAACUUAUCCUUUUGGUAAGGAGAAGGAAGAUGGGAACAAGGAAAACAAAGACAGAGAGAAGGGUAUUCAUCCUUUUUUAAGUUUCUUGGGCCUCUUAGUAUGUGUGUGUGGCAGAUGAAGCUAUGCUUAUGUAGUAUACAUUAUAAGACAGCAAGUGAGAUUACAACGGAGAAAUCAAUAAUUUGUUGGUUUUCAAGUUGGAAUCUCUUCCUUGGCUUCAAAAUGUACCAACCAUCAACCAGAUGACAAAAACAGGAGAAGGUAAAAAAAAAAUAGUUAAAGAAGUGAGACGUAUGUUCAGCAUUCUACAAUUCUGUAUAAAUAAAGAUGGGUGGAAAUGUUUGUGGUAUUUCCAGACAAGAUACCAUUUUGCCGUAGUUUGUCGUUUCCUGGGUCCAGCUACAGACUGGAGGUGGCGCUAGCUUUCGCUGGUUCCUCAUGAGAAGAGUACAGAAUUUUCUCAUAGUAACAUAUUAAUUCUUUUAGAGAUUCCUAUGCUGAAUAUUUCCAGAAUGCUCGAUUCAAGUAGCAGCUCAGAAGAGUGAUUUUAGAAGGUGAGUUGAGCCUCAACUCAACUUGAAGGGAUCUAGAAUCCAAUUCUAAUAACCUUUGUAGUCUCUCCCUUCUAUUGGCGCUCAUGUAUACCCUACUUCUAAGGAAAGAGGAGCAUAGGAUCAAAGAGUUUUUCGUGGAAAAUAAAAGAACUGCUAUUACCAUUACCAAUGGGACUGUACAUUUCAAAAUAUCAUAUUUCACCCAAA